UACGGGGGGGGCAAGCGUUGUUCGGAAUUACUGGCGUAAAGGGCUCGUAGGUGGCCAACUAAGUCAGACGUGAAAUCCCUCGGCUUAACCGGGGAACUGCGUCUGAUACUGGAUGGCUUGAGAUUGGGAGAGGGAUGCGGAAUUCCAGGUGUAGCGGUGAAAUGCGUAGAUAUCUGGAGGAACACCGGUGGCGAAGGCGGCAUCCUGGACCAACACUGACGCUGAGUGAGCGAAAGCCAGGGGAGCAAACGGG
rnacentral:rRNA from 1 species